GAAAUGCGAUACGUAGUGUGAAUUGCAGAAUUCCGUGAAUCAUCGAAUCUUUGAACGCAUAUUGCGGUCGAGGCUUCGGCCGAGACCAUGUCUGCCUCAGCGUCGGUGUGAACCCUCAUCCUCCCUCACGGGCGUGGAUGGACCUGGCCUCCUCAGCCCUCGGGCUGGGCUGGCUGAAAUUCGGAGGUCAGCGCUUGGGCCUGUAUGGCAACAGCAAGGUAGGUAGUUUACUACUCCAGCUGGUGCUUUGGGCACUCGCGGCGACCCGCAGGAAUUCUCACCCUUUCGACCUGAGAUCAGGCAAGGCUACCCGCUGAACUUAA
rnacentral:misc_RNA from 1 species